UGGGGAAUAUUGGGCAAUGGGCGAAAGCCUGACCCAGCAACGCCGCGUGAAGGAAGAAGGCUUUCGGGUUGUAAACUUCUUUGACGAGGGACGAAAAAAAUGACGGUACCUCGAAAACAAGCCACGGCUAACUACGUGCCAGCAGCCGCGGUAAUACGUAGGUGGCAAGCGUUAUCCGGAUUUACUGGGUGUAAAGGGCGCGUAGGCGGGAUUGCAAGUCAGAUGUGAAAUGCGGGGGCUUAACCUCCGAACUGCAUUUGAAACUGUGAUUCUUGAGUACCGGAGAGGCAGGCGGAAUUCCUAGUGUAGCGGUGAAAUGCGUAGAUAUUAGGAGGAACACCAGUGGCGAAGGCGGCCUGCUGGACGACAACUGACGCUGAGGCGCGAAAGCGUGGGGAGCAAACAGG
rnacentral:rRNA from 1 species